rnacentral:rRNA from 1 species
CUAGGUGCAGGUUAUUCGAGCAUGCCUAGCGGUAGAGAACUUUCGGGAUCUUGAGAGCGGCGUACGGGUGCGGAACACGUGUGCAACCUGCCUUUAUCUGGGGGAUAGCCUUUCGAAAGGAAGAUUAAUACCCCAUAAUAUAUUGAAUGGCAUCAUUUGAUAUUGAAAACUCCGGUGGAUAGAGAUGGGCACGCGCAAGAUUAGAUAGUUGGUGAGGUAACGGCUCANNNNNUCAGCGAUCUUUAGGGGGCCUGAGAGGGUGAUCCCCCACACUGGUACUGAGACACGGACCAGACUCCUACGGGAGGCAGCAGUGAGGAAUAUUGGACAAUGGGUGAGAGCCUGAUCCAGCCAUCCCGCGUGAAGGACGACGGCCCUAUGGGUUGUAAACUUCUUUUGUAUAGGGAUAAACCUACCCUCGUGAGGGUAGCUGAAGGUACUAUACGAAUAAGCACCGGCUAACUCCGUGCCAGCAGCCGCGGUAAUACGGAGGGUGCAAGCGUUAUCCGGAUUUAUUGGGUUUAAAGGGUCCGUAGGCUGAUUUGUAAGUCAGUGGUGAAAUCUCACACCUUAACUGUGAAACUGCCAUUGAUACUGCAAGUCUUGAGUGUUGUUGAAGUAGCUGGAAUAAGUAGUGUAGCGGUGAAAUGCAUAGAUAUUACUUAGAACACCAAUUGCGAAGGCAGGUUACUAAGCAACAACUGACGCUGAUGGACGAAAGCGUGGGGAGCGAACAGGAUUAGAUACCCUGGUAGUCCACGCCGUAAACGAUGCUAACUCGUUUUUGGGCUUUUGGGUUCAGAGACUAAGCGAAAGUGAUAAGUUAGCCACCUGGGGAGUACGAACGCAAGGUUGAAACUCAAAGGAAUUGACGGGGGCCCCGCACAAGCGGUGGAUUAUGUGGUUUUAAUUCGAUGAUACGCGAGGAAACCUUUACCAAGGCUUAAAUGGGAAAUGACAGGCUUAAGAAAUUAGGCUUUUUCUCCGGACAUUUUCCAAGGUGCUGCAAUGCUGUCGUCAGCUCGUGCCCGUGAGGUUGUUUAGGUUUAAGUCCUGCAACGGAGGCAUACCUCUGUCACUAGUUUGCAUCAUUAAGCUUGGGUACUUCUUAGUGAACUUGCCUACGCAAGUAGAAGAGAACGUGGGGAUGACGUCAAAUCAUCACGGCCCUUACGCCUUGGGCCACACACGUAAUACAAUGGCCGGUACAGAGGGCAGCUACACUGCGAAGUGAUGCAAAUCUCGAAAGCCGGUCUCAGUUCGGAUUGGAGUCUGCAACUCGACUCUAUGAAGCUGGAAUCGCUAGUAAUCGCGCAUCAGCCAUGGCGCGGUGAAUACGUUCCCGGGCCUUGUACACACCGCCCGUCAAGCCAUGGAAGUCUGGGGUACCU